AAAAAAGCCACAGAAUGCUUGAAGAUUACACUAGAUGAAAUGAAUUAUCUUUAUCAAACCCAGAUAGAGAAGCACUCGCCCAUGAGGGAUUCCGCCACCAGGCCAGAGAGCAUUCUGUCUUGCAGAGGCACACCCUGAACUGUGCUCUUAUGUAACUAGAAGGUUUUGUCUUUUCACCUCUUUCUUUGGCAGCCAUGGAUCUGGUUUUCAUUGUCUUCACCACAUGUUUUCUCCUUGCUGUAUGUUGCGAUUGUUGACUUAUAGAGCAUCAAAAAGAAACAAAACAAAUCUCCAAACAGCAGAAUUUGGCCAGAGCCAAAAGCAACUCGCAACGUUUGAGCUGAGCUUACUCAAAGCUGGGCAAAAAGACACAGGCUUACAAAAAUGCCUUUUGUUUGAACCAAACACUGAAGCCAAGGCAUCUGUGUCCAGAAGUUCUUGUGCAUGGAUGAGCCUCCGAUCCCAACCUGCAGGAAGCCAGCUGGAUGAGGCUCUUGGCAGCUGUGUGUCAGAGAACCGAAGCAACAACCUGUCUUGCUUCAGCUUUCGAGUGUCUCUAGCCCCAUGGAGCUUGGAGAGUCCUAACAGAUUCCCUCAUCCAUGGCAACAGAUCUAUGCCCGGAUUGAAACUGUGCUCACAUUCCAGGAACACUGCAUCCAUUAACUCAGUGACACAUUCUAUUUCUCUACUAAUUGCAUCAGCCGUAAUCUCAACUGCCCAAAGAGGCCACGCCUGCCAUUAAGACUUCACGUUUAAAUAAUCUAAGCUUCCCCAUGUCUCAGGCUCAGUAACCAGCACCCAGCUCAAGAAACAGAACGACUAGUGCCACAGAAGCCUCCCGCGUGCCCUCCUAGUCGCUGCAUCGCCAAGGGAGUGUCCCUGGAAGAAGCUUCUGGCACCUCCUCUCUAUUGGCAGCUGCCCACACAGCCAGUUCCCAAGGGCAGGUCCCUGGCAGCUCUGGAGCUCCUGUUCUGUGUCUUCUCACACCAUGUCCAGAGAACAGCUCACAGGGGGCAGACCCCCACCCCACGGGACAGGGCAUGGCCCCAAGGCCUGCAGCGUCCACCCCACCCUGUGGGUGUCAUUACCCUCCCCCAGCCUCUAGUCCCAAUGGGGCAGACCACUGAGUGGAGGCGCUCCCCUCACAAUGACCCCUGCCCUGAUCCCCACUCACCUUGUGUUUCCUCCCAACCUAAAGGGCACUGUCAUGACCUCAUGUUCCCUGGGCAUUUCCUCCCUCGGCCCGCCGGUCAGUUCCCAGGUUCUUUCAGCUCUGUCACUUUCGUAUUUCCUAAACCCACCACCACUGCCUUAAUUCAUUCUAACAUUUUUCUUCCUUGAUUACAUACAAUACCUGCAUAACA